AGGCUUGCUUGCUUUGCAGUUUUAGGCUUUAAAAGACACAGCCCUGCUCAAGUACAGGGUUCUCCAUUCCCACCUGUUUGGAGGACCCCAUGCACAUGGAAAAUAAAACCCCUUUGUUCUUACAUGAGAGCUGAGUCGUUGGGGUCUUCUUCGUGACACCGGUCUUACAUUUGGAGGCCCCAGCAAGAUAGACCUCCUUGUGGAAGGAGGCCCCAACUAAGCACUCCAGCUAAGCACCUCUCUGGGGUAACAGCCAAUUCUUGUUUACUUUCAUUUUGCAAACGAUUGUUCAUUUUCUCUUCCUUUUUUACUGCCCUGGACUGUUCUUGUCGUUUCUUUGGUCCCGAAUUCAAGGGCCAUUUGUUUCUAUUGGGGGAUGCCCCAAGGCUCCCUCGUGGAAUAUUUGACUGUGGUUCUGCACCAAUUUGAGUAGGCAGGUCCCUCCUGCUGAGCUGGGUAGGUUGCUCCUACCACCCUGUGUAGUCGUUUCACGGCUACUUUGCGGGGCUUCUUCGCCGAUCUGUUUCCGCCACCUAGUGGUGUAGGUACCUGGGAUCCAACUCACGACUGCCUGCUUGCAAGGCAGGCGCUUAUGCUGCUGAGCUAAAUCUCCAGCCCCCGCUGUCACAUUUUAAAUGGGGUUCCUAAAUCCAUCCAUCUCCAUUAAUUUGGCAGAGGAGGAUGCAGUAUAAUUGGCCCCAAACCCAGGUCUCUGGAAAUGGACUGCAGCAUUUGUCACUGGCAGACAGAGAACAUCUCCUCAUAGCAACCACGAAACUACCCUGUCAGUAACAACCAAAUCAACAACAGUAAUAGCAUCAAAGACAAACCGGAUAUUGACAUACCAUCUCCAGAGCAGAAAGAAUCAUCCUGAGGGGUCACUUGUGAAGAGCUUCUUACAAACCUGACCUUGAUUCUCAUUAGAGGAUCCUGGACUCAGGCCAGUACUAUAAUGAGAUGAAAUCUGGGAAGUUUGAGAGGGUACAAUUAUACUUUGCAUUAGAAGUCAUUUAUCACUGAACUAUGUUCUAUGCUGAUGAAAGAUGGCUCCGAAUUCCUUGAAGGGAUAAGUUCAAUUCCUUUGUUUUAAAUUGGGAUUGAUCUAAUUGUUUAUGCAACCAAUAGAAUGUAAUGGAAAUGACAUUUGGAAAAUCACUCUUGGGGAUAUUGGGGACUAGGUGAGAAAUCUAAGUACCUAGAGACCUAAAAUGUACAGAGAAAGACAGACAAGUGGUAUAUAGGAACAGGCUGCCAAAGGCAGAAGGUGCCAGUCAACCAAAAAAAGAUGUGGAGAAAUCCAGAAUUGCAUAAAAUGCAGUUUAGAAGAGAUUUACAGACAGAAGCAUAUUUUGGGUAGUUAGAAGAUCGGAGAAUCUUCACAACCCAGAACAGGAGAAAGGGUUUUAUAGCUAAUGUGGACAUUUAAUUUGUCCUACUGUGGAAUAUACUUGGGCUUUCUCAAAAACCACUAGCAUCUUGAAUACUACUAAAGAGAUAGGCAGUCCUCAGUGCACAACACAAAAAAUUCCAUUAUAUUAAUGACAUUGUUUACCCUAUUGAGUUCAGAAUUUGUGCCAGGAUCACCUAUUGCAAGAAUGGUAAUUACAAAUAAGAUGCUUGCUCUCAUGUCUUUGUAAAGAGAGAGCAAUAAUAAGACACAGAGAAAGAGAGAGAAGGAGAGAGAAAAGGGGAGAUGGGAGAGAUGAGAGAAGAAGUAGAUUAUCUCUUUGCAUAUGUUGGAUUAUCUCUGAACAAACCCCAUUAGUAACUUCAAACUCAGAAAAAAAUGUUAGAAAGAAAAAUGUGAAGAAAGUAAUCCAAAUGAGAGUCAGAAUUGACGACCCAAAUACAUGGGCUCAUCUAAUGGAAAUGCCAUCUCCAGAAAGCUAAAUCAGCCUAUGUUGUAAAUAAGAUUUACAAGGAAAAAGAUUUAAUACAGGACAAAUAAUUUAUAGGAUUAUUUUAUAAUGUUCACCCAAACAGUCAAAUGCAUAAUGUGCAAGAGAUCUGCCCAUAUGCUAGAGAUCCAAAGAAUCCAGCUGAAGGCCUGGAUUCCAGAGCAAUGUCCUGCACAAGUCCAGCUGAAGACCUAAAGCAGAUGCAGUGUGCUUCAUCAGUCCAUCUAGAGGCCUAGAGCUCACAAUGUCUCAUGCAAACCUGUAUGGAGUAUCUGCCCUGGGAAGGUCCAACGGUCAGCAGUGAAAAUCAGAAAGCCUACUCCAAACUGAUGAGGGAUCCACUCCAGCAGACUGAGGGAUCUGCACAGGAGCCAGGAAGUGAUGCUCAAUGUAAGGACCAGAACUCUCCUGCAAAGAAUCAUAACCUUCAUCUUUGUAAGUAAGAACAACUGAGUUCUUAUCAGGAAAGCCAGCAUGAUAAGCUUCUCUGUGAGAAUCAACAGUACACUGUCUUCCCCUCCAGUUAUCCUUCUUUGUUGUUGGCAGGAAUCCUUGAGUGGACCAUCCAUACCCAACACUGUGCUGUGUGCUACAAACUGACCAUUGGUUAGUCUACCACAGCCUCAUUGUGGACCUCUUUCAUUCUGGAGCACAGAGUAGAUCCCACUUUUAAUCGAUGCAGAAAAUACUGAUCUGCAAAACCAUAAGGACAUUAAAACGAUUACUUUUUACAUUACAUAUUGUAAUGGUUUGAAAUCCAACAACAAACAGUUCCUCAGCUAAACAUUUUCACAUAAAUAUUGAUAUAGGACCCUAAAGAUCUAGAAGAAAUAGCAUUGUGAUGGAUACAUAACUGUGGACAUCAUCAAGAAAACAGUAGUUGAAAUAACAGGUAAAUUAAAUAGCUUAGGCAAUGUGAUUGGAAAAAGGCAUAUAAAUGAUACUAGAAAUGAGCAUAACAUACAGCCAGUUGAGUAAUUAUAUAUAAACAUUUUAUUAUAUGUUAAAAUAUUUAUGGAUAUUGUAUUUGUAAGGAAGAGGCAAUUUUCUUUUCUUGAUUUGAAAGAACACAAAUGAUUGCCAAGAAAAAUAAUGCUUGGAGGGACUUUGAUGUUUGCAUGAAAAUUCACCAAAUACAAUGGCUUAAAGUAAUGCAGAGGCGUCCUUCCUAGGAAUUGUGUAGAAAGCAUGGUUCAUGCACAGAGUUUGUGUUUCCUCUUUUUUAAUCUGGGAUCCUCAGUGGCAAUGUUUUCUAGUAACAAGCUAUGGUUCUCAGAUAUAAUUCAGUUUUUAUCAAUGCAAGGUAAUCUUAAGUGAUACACUCCAUUGUUGGGCUAGAAAUUUAGGACAUUUGUUUGUUUGCUUUGUUUUUUCUUAUCUUAGAAGCAAAAUAUGAGAGCCUGGAGCCUGAGAUCAGCCAGGGGCCUGAAUCACCAAUGUGAAGAUCAUUUGUGAGCUAACCAGGAACACCCUCAUUUUACAGCUUCAUGAAUAAAAAAAAAAAAAAAAAAAAUGAAAUUCUGUUUGCAAAAGCCACUGAAAUGUUAAUACUUAUUUGUAACACCACAAUAUUAUCAUCAUUUGCUAUUUUAUUAAACGGAUUCAUUUGUGACAUUAAAGAAACAUGGAAAGAAAGAUUGAAAGUUUGGAGGUAUUUAAUGUAUAGAGUCCUAUGUGUUCCUGAUUAAAUUGAGCAAAACUUCUCAAAGACAAGUACCAGGGGGUUGGUGUGAUCCAAAUUCUCUUUCCAGAAUUAGCACAAAAAACAAUUUAAUUGUUUUUGAUCUCUGCUUUUGCCCAUUAACACAGAAUAUCACUUUAAUUCAAGGCUUUUUGCAGUAAUUUGUAACUCAUGCCUUGUCAUUUUUAUCAAUUUCUAAGUGCAGAGAGUAUAUACAAAAAAGGAUCAGAAAUAUCAUUUUUAAAAUGCAACAUACAGUGAACGUCUAAUACCCUCCCAUAUUCAUGGGCUUCUAUGCCACAGAAGUCAGAUUCACUGAAUGGUAAAAUAAUAGCACUUGUCUCCCUCUUCACUGAACUUAUUAGUGUGUGUCUCUCACUGUGAAGAAAAAGGAGUGAAAUGUAACCACUUGAUGUCUCUAUCGUGUGUGUGUUGGUGUGUAUAAAGGAAGAAAGAAGAUCUUCAAGUGUCUUAGCUGUAUUUUCUACAAUGAGACAUAUUACGUAACUACUGCUUGUUGAACUGUAAUUAUAACGGAGCCACCUUUAUAAACAUGAAUACAAGGAAAACUAAUUAGGCGCUGACAAUAAGCAAAUAUUAUACUCUUAAUUAGAUCUUCUUCUACUGGAAAUCCUGCUUUGGUCCUGCUACUCCAGUGUGAAUGACAUUUGAAUCAUAACAGUGUCUCACAGAAACGGUCUUUCAGGAAUGAAAAAGACAGCGCAGUGUCACAGUCAAUGAAUACCUUUUCAAAUCUUUGCUAAUCUGAAGUCAAUGAAACACUACUCCCCCUAACAGCUGCUUUUGCUGAUUUGUAUACCCGCAUAAUUACAGUGGAAAGUUCAGGCUGCACAUUUUUAGUAUACGUAUAUUUUGAUAGUGCUUUUGUCACAUAUUAUUUUCACAUAGCUGAUUACUAUGAAAAACUGAACUCUGAGUUCUUAGAAGAGGAAUCUAGAAGGCAAAAUGCAAUCCGAUGUUUUAUCAGUGUUUGAUCUCUCAUCUCCAAAUCUCAGUCUUCCUGUCUCUGUCUCUCUCCCUCUCUAUCUCCAGCUCUGCCUUUCCCUUCUUCUCCCCAACCCACAAAUGUCUGCUCAGCACACGUAUUUCCAAAGAAUGAUAUGCUGAGAAUCUGUAGAACGUUUUGUCAGUAGAGUAUAAUACAUGAGAAAAUAAAUUUAAAUAAAGAAGGAUGUCUUUUUUCACCACUACUCAGAGGUUAAACGGAUAGUCAAUUGGCUUCCUUGUUUCUUGGCCUGUGGUGAGGCACCAACCAGCACAUGGUGGGGAAAAUCCGCACAGCUCAUGGUGCCCAGGAAUCAAACGCAGACAAGAAGGAGCCUUGGGGACAGAUUCCAUGCUUAAAGUGAUGUCCCUGGGAUCUGACUGCUGUAAUCUAGGGCUUACCUCCCACAGUUUCCACCACCUCCCUGAAGCCCAUUACUCUGUAUCAAUUAAUCUAUUGGUCAGUACCAUCAUGAUCCAGUCACCUUCCAAAGAUCCACAUCUGAACACGGGUCUAUUAGCAAUCAGGCUUUCAAAGCAAUAGCCAUUGGACUGAGCCUUCAAAACAUAGCAGAAGGUCCUACUGUGUGUAAGGUUCUGUGAUGGGAGAGAAGAGAAGGAUGUGUUUUCGUGGAGAGAAUUUGCUCACUAAAAAAAACUGUAACCAUCACCUUGUUAGACACAUGCUGAGACAUCCUCAGGUGUGGGUGAGGACUAUCUUCAAGAGCUUUGCAUAACAGACACACAUCUAUUCAUGAGACCAGAGGGCAGAAUCAUGCUACUCUUUCAACUUAGAAUGUGAUUUUUAAAAAAGCAGGUGUUAAGAAACAGCUAAGCUCAGACAUGCAUAAAAAACAAGAAAACAUUAUUUUGUUUCCUAAAGGACAAAGAAACAGUGGUGAUUCGAUAGUCACAUAUCAUGGAUUAAAUAUCUGUGUCUCAGAUCUCAAAAAUGCAAAAAUGAUUUUCUGAAAUGAACAAAUUAUU